AAGCAUUGAACAGAUAAAUGUAAAAUUAAGGAGCUUGUGUUACAACACACUCUGAAUCCCUUCACUACAAAUUAAUAGGAUCGGCUCGAUAGGAGGUAUAAAAUUAUAAUAGUUAAUCAUCAUUAUAUCACUACUAUAAAUAUUUGCUUCACCACUACCUGGCUCAGGUUAUGCUCAGGUUUCUUGUUAUGCUCAAACUAAAGUGACAUAUGUUUGAAAUAGUUUAUUAAAAUUUACAAGUCUCAUAUUCAUGUUUAACAAGCAGAACAAAUACCAAAACCCCAUGCAAGAUCUAUAAAGAGCAGGAAAAACAGUCUUGACAUUUGGUGCUGAGGCAGCAAUGAAUAGCUUGUACAAGAAGCACACCAAGUUCUUCAAAGUUGUAGGACUUCUUUUCCAUUUCAGUGGAGCACUUCAAUUCACCGUUGGAAUAGUCUUCGAUUACCAGCUCAUAGUCCCAGGCCAAACGUUUUAUCUCUUACAAAGGCUUCAAUACAUGACAUAUUGGAAUUUGUAUCUUCAAUGGUUCUAUUUUACUAAAAGGACUAUUAAUGAUAUUAUGACAUUUGAUGACAAUGAUGAGGAUGAAACGCCUAAAUGUGUUGAUUAUAUUAAAACAUCAUUGGCAAUACCUAAUGCUCUGGUAUAUACUUUUUUUUUGGCCCAUGCUGAUACAAGACUGUCUCCAUUCUUUUUUGGACUAUCUACACUCUAGAUCCAUCAUUGAUCCAUGGUGGAGAGCCUUUGCCUAGAUAUCUCAACUUUGUCGUACAUACGAGUGUUUCUCUAUUAAAUUUGAUAGAAUUAGCCAUUGUAAAGCAACGUAUCUGCCCUCAGAAGAAAUGCCUAUGGAUCAACUUUUGUUUUAGCCUUGUAUUCACAGCAUGGUUUAUUGCAUACAACAUGACAGAAAACAAGUGGACAUACCCAUUUUUGGACCAUCUAGAUAUUCUGAGGAAAGCAGUAUUUUUUAGCAGUUGUUGUUUAAUGAAUUUUUCACUGUGUAUUCUUGGUCAAAACCUUCAAUAUCUUAUUUGGGGGUAAUAACAUAUCAAAAUAUAUAACAAUAAACACAAUAUAAACUAUUAA